rnacentral:tRNA from 1 species
CCUYRAUCAGCUCACGCUAUCUAUCGGAUCGUUUUAGAAACAUUCAGGGGCCAACAGUUUCAGGAUUGUUGAGCUCCAUUGGCGGGAUUUCGCCGUCUUCGUUUCUCUUUCUUCGCGGACRAACACGCGCCAGGGGCUGAGCGCUGUGCGGUGCACCGACUAAGCGUCGCGUGCGCGCCGGCAUGUCUCUCGUGUUAGGGGCUUGUAGCUCAGUUGGUUAGAGCGCGCGCUUGAUAAGCGUGAGGUCGGAAGUUCAAGUCUUCCCAGGCCCACCAUUUUGAUCGAGUGCGGAGCAUUCGUCUUCUGGUACGGGGCCAUAGCUCAGCUGGGAGAGCGCGUGCUUUGCAAGCAUGAGGUCGUCGGUUCGAUCCCGUCUGGCUCCACCAGAUGGUUUGAUCACCAACGGCGUUACCGUCGUCCGCGAAACAUCACUUCGCACUCAUUGGUCCGGAUGGACGGUGACGUGCGUGUUUUCUGACAUCGUAAAGAGGAGAUCGAUCCGAGUUUGGAUCAAGCGAASSAAUUCUUCMGAACCMMUCUUUGUCUCCGGGAUCAC